rnacentral:rRNA from 1 species
AGUGAACGCUGGCGGUAGGCCUAACACAUGCAAGUCGAACGGCAGCACAGUAAGAGCUUGCUCUUACGUGCGUCGCGUGGCGGACGGGUGAGGUAUACAUCGGAUUCUACUUUUUCGUGGGGGCUAACGUCGGGAAACUUACUCUAAUACCGCAUACGUCCUACGUGUGAAAGCAGGGGAUGUUCGGACCUUGCGCGAUUGAAUGAGCCUAUGUCGGCUUAGCUAGUUGGCGGGGUAAAGGCCUACCUAGGCGACGAUCCGUAGAUGGUCUGAGAGGAUGAUCAGCCAGACGGGAACUGAGACAGGGCCCCGACACCGGCGGGAGGCAACGGUGGAGAAUAUUGGGCAAUGGGGCAAAGGCUGAUACAGCAAUACCGCGGAGGGGAAGAAGGAGUUCGGGUGGUAGAGCCCUUUUGUUGGGAAAGAAGAACAGCAGGUUUAUCCCCCACUGUACUGACGGUACCCAAAGAAUAAGCACCGGCUAACUUCGUG